GGUCUAAAAGUAUAAUCGCCUCCCGUCUAUUGAUCCGAUGAAAUCGGAAUCAGAGUAGCGAAGGAGUCAGGGAUCGUUCUAAAAAAUCGCCUCUUCCUGUUUGGACAUUGCUGCAGGGCAUCGAUUGUGAUCAUGUUCAUGCAGUCCCUGCACUAGGCAGUGGUGCUGUCAGCCCUGCACUGCACUGCACUGCACUGGGCAAGGCCAAAGACUCGAUCAGGGCUCGUGCCUGAGGCGGUGGAGUUGAAGCCUCUGGAGAUGGGGACAUUGGCUUUGAGGGAUUGAAGGAGGCUAUUCAGGUUCUCCUCAUAACUGCUUCCUGCCGUGUAAUUUGUAGAGCCCAAGCAAACUUCAACUGCUUUUGCUAUAUGCGGGAGAAGCAUGAAUCGCAGAAGUGAAAAAAACAGGUGACUUGUAAACACAAUCAAACGUAUCUCUCGCUUUCCGCCUCUCUCUCUCUCUCUCUGCUGUCUUUAAUUCUGUCUGCUUUCUCUACUUCUCUCACUUUCUCAAUUUGCUGUUUGUUUUUUUUUGGGCAUGUAUUCCACGCUCCCUCUCCCUCGAGAGUAUGGUUUACUUCUACUCCUUCAGGUAGACGGCCUAUUUGGGAGAUUUUUUAUUAACCUAAAGUUUUGGUAAUCACCUAAUAAUCACUGGAUGAUAUUUCUCAAAAACAAAUUUUGAAAUAUGAGUUUUUUAACAGUUAGAUCUCACCUUUAAAAAUUGGAUGAUUUCUAUUCAAUCUUGAGACAUUAUUUUUUUCAAGCACUUUGAGGGAAUUAAAAAUAUUUUUUAUUAAAAUUAAUUUAUCUGUUAGAACGUUUAUAUCCUAAAAUUUAGGGUCUCAAAAUUAUAGAAAAUUGUUUGGUGCCAUCAAGCCCGCAAGUGUUAUUAUGCAGGCUUGGAGAUCUACACCAUCCACCAAAGAAAGUGUCGAUCUACACCAUAAAUAUUAGUCCUCCAAAAGUAAAAUCAACCGUUCAAAUAUUUUUUUCUAAAAAUAUCAUUCUAGUUUUUUAUUUAUUUAUUUUUACAGAUUAAUAAUCUGCAUGUUGAAGAUUAUGUAUUCUCUAAAACCAAGAGUAAAGUGCAUUUCAAAAAUGAAUUAUUAAGGGGACCUCAUUUAUACAUAUGAGUCCAUGGACUCAUAGAAAUCGUAUCUUAAAAUUAUUCUUACAUGGGUAGCUGUAGAGGUAAGGUGCGCCUUCAAAAUUUAUCAUGGCAUAUAAUUUUGAUGUAAAAUGUUCUUAGAAUUAUCUCAAAAUCUAUUUUUAUAUCUAAUUAUAAAAUUUUAAAUUUCAAAAAUGGUUAAAAUCAAGUAGAUCUAUAGACAUAUGAAAAUAUUGAAAAUGGACGGUGUAGAUAAUAUGUUGUAAAAUGCACUAUUUCUGAGACUUAAAAUCUUUUUAUUUUUCAUGGUCAUACAUCUCGAUCUCGAGAUGAUCAAUCAAAGGGUUUUUCAACAUUAAAACUACCUUUUCCGAUAGAUUUUUGAGGUGCAUCCAUAGCUCUACAUUAUAAGGUUGCAACCUUAUAUAAACCUUUUCCUUCUUAAACAGGUUUUAUCUCAGGGUGUAAAUAAACAGUAUACUCAAGGAAAUAUAAUAUCUUCACUUAAAACAUGGCGACUCCACCAAGGCCAUGACAUCGGAGUUGUUAUUGAUGUGGAAAAGCAAAGCCAAAGGCUUUUUCCUUCGUUUUUUUCUAGGGAAAAUUACAAACCAAUCUAACUUUUUUUCUCUUUUUUUUUUUCGAAACAAACUUUCUAUGCAAAUACCCUCAAGAGAAAAAAUUCAUUAUUUUUAGACAAAAUGCCAUUCUCAAACACUAAAAUCAUUUUGGCCAAAUUUGACGUUGACUUUUGGACCCCAGUAGCAUAUUGUCAGAACGCACAUCACAUUGCCGGAGCGCACAAGUGCCAGACCACCCUAAGACAACUAGCAGACUGAAACCUGGACUGUGCCAGAGCCCAAUAGCACAAUGUCGGAGCGCACAUCACAUUGCCGGCCCUUUACUUAGUGCUGGAACCCUGUAAUCCAGUAACAUCUACUAUCAGAUUGCUUUUUGCAACUGCCCAACCGUACUUUACACAAUGUCGGAGCCCUAAUGUUGGACCGUAACUAGAGCCCUACUACCGGACCACAACUGGAGCCGUACUGCCGGACCGUACUUACACAGUGUCAAAGCCCCUAGUUUGGUGAGAUAGAUGAGAGAGAGGGCCCUAAUGUCGGACCGUAACUGGAGCCCUACUGCCGGACAGCAAUGGGAGCCCUACUGCCUAACCGCACUUGCACAGUAUCAAAGCCCCUAUUUUGGUGAGAAAAAAGAGAGGGAGGCAUUUUAAAGUAAAAGCAAGGGAUGGUAGUUUAGCCAUUUUUUUUACUUUUUAUCUUAGUUGGGGGUAUUUGCAUAGAAAAUAUAUUUAAAAAAAAAAAAGUGAAAAAAAAAGUCCGUAUAAAGUGUAGUCUUUGGGUUUUUGUAAUCUUUUCCACUAAAUUUCAGUUGGGCGUAUUUGCAUAUAAAAUAUAUUUAAAAAAAAAAAGGUGGAAAAAAAAAAAAAGGGUUAGAACAAGUCCGUAGAAAGUGUAGUAUUUGGGUUUUUGUAAUCUUUUCCACCAAAUUUCGUGCAAGAUGGGAGCCACUUUCUUGUUGACGCUGUGCAGAAGUGUAUGGAGGCGUUUGUUAAUGCGGACUGCGUCAUGGAAAUGACCCGCUCUUUCGUUAAUAUUGCUAUUUCUCCUAGAUCCAAAUGGACUUCCGUGUAGUAUACACUUACUACGGAUGCAAGAUGCGUUGCAUGUUUUUAGCCGUUCAUUUUCAUGAGUAGAAAUGAUAUUGUCAGAGGACACGGUUUAUACGAGUCUGCGUUCUCAUAUGAAGGUAUGUAUUCUCUCUCUAUUAUUUAUUUUUUGAGAUGGAUUUUGCAUUAAAUAUUUUAAAUAUAUAUAAUCUCUAAUAUUUAUCUAAAGAAGGGUGAGGAUCUUAAACUUUUUUUUUACCAUUUAUUUUAAUCCUUUGUGGCGGCGCCAUUUUUUUGCGUCCAUCUUUAAGAUGGAUGCUUGGUGCGUCAAGGGACGUAAAUAUAGUAUUCUAUCCCCUGACGCACAAUAAUAUUUUCCAAUUAUUCAAUACAAUUGUUCUCGAUAGUUAAAAAGUAUUUUAGAAACACCUCGAUUAUAGCAUGUUUUUGUUGCACAUUGUAUAACAACUUCCUUGGGCGAAAGUGUCACUUGAGAGAUUUUUUCAUAUUUAAAAUUUGGGACGCAUAUUUUUAAGAAACAUAAUGGAUUGGAUGUUCUUCAACACCGAGAUCUUGCCCUUCAAAAAUUGGAUAGCUCUUGUUCAAUCUGGCACAUUAGUAUUUUCGAGGAACAUAGAGAGUCCUAUUUAAUUUUUGUAUGAAGUUCAUUGUUAGAUUCUACAUGCUGCAACCCCAAAUGUUUGGUCUCCAAAAAAUAUUCAUAGCAUAUCGGCUGGUAACGGACUAGGUGGCCCAAUUCUGCCCCAAAGAACUAGGGCUUGGGCCACAAAAUUAUAGAAUUGAGGUUGGCAAGGCUUGGGGCCCAUAGUACUGGCCCGGUCUAGCUCAGCCUAAUCCUAUUUCUUUUUCCUUUUCUUCUUAAUUUCUCUUUCAUUGUAUGUGACCUUGCCAAACUCGUCUUUGACAAGGCCAAGUCUCAGCCUGGGCCAAGGCCUCUACAACCCUGUUUUUUUUGUUUUUUUUGGUAAAUAAAUUCUUAGCCUCUUUAGCCCAAUCAUUUAACAAUACUUCAACAAAAGGUUUUUACUGUAAAAAAAACUCCCUUAUGUGAUUAAAUAUUGGAGUUUUCUCACAUCAAUUGGCUGCUAAUUAGUACGAAAAAAUACGUUUGAACCAACUAGUACAAAAAAAAAAGAAAAAUUUCAUAUAAAACCCUAAUUCUUCGUAUUAUUUCAUGGUAUACAUUCUUUUCCUUUUUUUUCAAGCGGCAUAAAAAAAACCUCUAAAGAUUUCAUCAUACCCCAUUAUCUCUUAUCUCCAUCUUUUAUUGACUUUUGAUUAUAAAAAUUAGCCCCAACAAAUCUUUUGUAUCAUUUUAACCAAUAAACUUUUUUAAUGGGUGGAAUAGAAAAAGAAGGUUAAAAACGUUUUUGGGGUGAAAUGAUGUAAAAAUAUUUAUUAGGGCUAAUUUUUAUGGUAAAAAGUCAAUAAAAAAGGGAGAUGAGAGAUGACGGGGUACGGUGAAAUCUUUAGGAAUUUCUUUAUGCUCCUUGAAAGUAAAACGGAAAGAGGGUCUACCAUGAAAUAAUAUGAGGAAUUACAGCUCUAUACAAACUUUUCUCAAAAAAAUAUGUUGUGACCAGUGGUUUAAAAAACGAACCGGUGCCCUUGAUUGGGCACUCCAAAAAUCAAUCCGGAUCAGUGAAUAGGCUAUCCGGAUCGGGAAUCGACUGAAUCGGUCGGAUUAAGCUUUGAAAAAAAUUCAAAAAAAUUAUUAAAUUUCAUUAUAAAUGUUGUUUUUUAGGAAUCCAGUAAAAAAUUGGGGUAUUAUUGCAUUAUUAACUUUCAUUUUUUUCAUCAAUUUACGAAUAUUGAGAUGUUAUUUCCCUAUAUGAAAUUAUGUUAACCAUUAAAUUUACAUCAUACAAAUCUUGAAUUGGCAAACUCUAAUCCGCUAAAAACAAACCCAAAUUAUUACAACCUAAUUAACUAUGAUAUUAUAUAUUGAAAGUAAAAUAGUUGGUUUAUAUUUUAUAAUUAUUUUAUUAAACAAAUAAUAACAAAUCCAAAAAAAUAAGAAUAUGUUGUGCUACAUUUUUUUUGCUUGUUUUAUUUUUUAUUUUUACUUUAUUUUCUUCCUUUUAUACUUUGUUUUUGAAAUACCUUUUCUUUUUUAUUUGUCCCUUUUACUUUAUUUUGGUUUUUGUAGAGGAUAAAAAAGGUGUUUUUUUAAAAAAAAACCUUUUAUUUUUUUAUUUUUUCCUUUUACUUUAUUUUGUUUGGACAAAUUUGUGGUAGAGGACAAAAAAAGGGAUGGCGCCCAAGGGGUUCGAAGUCGGGACUUAUAAGAAAAAUUUAAGAGCCAAAGCCAAUAGUGUAUAAAUAUUAUAAUCAUUUUGCGUGCAUGUGGUAAUUAUCCCACAUCUUUAAUCUAAGUGUGCAUACUGGAGGGGCAUUACUAGAUGCGUUGGUUGCGUUGCAGGCUGCUUCUCAAUACUGAGAUUCCAUGCGCGCUUAACGUGAGGCAAUAAAAAUAUGCUCUUAAAUUUUAAAUAAAUUACAGACUUUGGCCUAACAAUUUUUAGCACUUGAAAUCGAUUGUGUAACUGUAGUGACUCGGCGAGUUUCACAAGUUAUCAUUACGAAUCCGUCCGGCUCUCUCUAGACAUGUUAUCGCUAUGAACCCGUCCGGUUCUCUCUAGACAUGGGCAGUCGGUUCCCGUCCGGAUCUCUUUAGACAUGGGUGGUUUUUUGUAUUUUGGUGGAAUCGGCACACAUGAGCGGUUUUUUGUAUUUUGGUAGAACCGACACGGGGUGCCGAUUCCUGUGUCGAGCCAGGAUGAGGAUGUUUGGACAUGGGCGGUUUUUCGUGUUUUGGUAGAACCAGCACACAUGGGUGGUUUUUUGUAUUUUGGUGGAACCGGCACACAUGGGUGGUUGUUUGUAUUUUGGUGGAACCUGCACGGGGUGCCGGUUCCCAUGUCGAGCCAGGAUGAGGAUGAGGAUGUUUGGACAUGGGCGGUUCUUCGUGUUUUGGUGGAACCGGCAUGAGGUGUCGAUUCUCUCGUCGAACCGGGAUGAGGAUGAGGAUGUUUGGUGGAACCGGUUUUUUUUAUUUUGGUGGAAUCGGCACACAUGCGAGGUUUUUUGUAGUUUGGUGGAACCGGCACGGGGUGCCGAUUCCCCGUGUCGAGCCUGGAUGAGGAUGAGAAUGUUUGGACAUGGGCGGUUCUUCGUGUUUUGGUGGAACCGGCAUGGGGUGCCAAUUCUCAUGUUGAACAGGGAUGAGGAUGAGGAUGUUUGGUGGAACCAGCACGGGGUGCCGAUUCCCGUGUCGAACAGAGAUGAGGAUGAGGAUGUUUGGUGGAACCAGCACGGGGUGCCGAUUCCCGUGUCGAACCGAGAUGAGGAUGAGGAUGAUUUGCAGGCCUUUCAACAGUCGCUAGGGAGAUGGCCUUUCCGGUGCAGUUCAGGUUGGUUGUUGUUUUGGUGGAACCGACAAGGGAGUGCCGACGUGUCGAACAGGGCGAGUCCGGUUCGACUCGGUGACUUUUCAAACACUGGUUGUGUGACCAAUUGGUGUGAAACUUUAUCACACAUAUAAUCACAUGAAGGAGCUUUUUAAAAAGGGAAAAGUUUUAAUAAGGUUGCAACCUUAAAAUGUAGAAUCACAUAUGCACCUCAAAAAUCUAUCGGAAAUGUUGUUUUAAUGUUGAAAAAACCCUCUAAUCCAUCAUCUCGACAUCGAGAUGUAUGAAUAUGAAAAAAAAAAAAAGUUUUUGAGUCCCGAAAAUAGUGCAUCUUGCAACACAUUAUCUAGACCUUUUAUUUUCAAGAUUCUCUUAUAUUUAUAGAUAUACUUGAUUUUAACUAAUUGUAAAUUUUUAAAUUUUCUAAAUAGGUAUGAAAAUAGAUUUUAAGGUAAUUCUAAUAAUUUUUUACAAUAAAAUUAUAAAGUGCGUCUUAAUUGGAUUGUUUAAGGUUGCAACUUUAUAGAAACCGCACCCUUUUAGAAAUAUUUUUACUCAAAUAGUUUUACCCGUGCCAAAUGUGCCCUAAUAAGAGAAAACGUAUCAUCCGAUUUUAUAAAAACAAGCCACAUGAUGUGCGGUAUUAGCAUGUCAAUUUGUUUAGAAUGCGAUUUUGAUUUCAACGAAAAUGGUAAUGUGGGUGAGAACAAUCAAACGUUGUUAUUACCGAUGAAUAAAAGGCCUUUAAAAUAUAAAACUAUGAGCAAUUUUAUUAGCGUUGUUAUUGAGAAUGCUCUUUUUAUAAAAAAUAAAAAAUAAAUUGAGAUUGCUCUUCCAUUUUACUAAAAAAAAAAAGAAGAGCAAUCUCAAAUAUUAUUUGUACCUACAUAUUUCAUCAUUCUCUCACGUCAAAGGCAAGGCAUGUUAGAACUUGGAAGUGGGUUCGUUAGAAAUUCACGCUCACAGCAUCCAUACACUCACUAGAAGCCCCGUGCCGAGACACUAUAUUGAAAAGGACAAAAUUUAUAUAAGUGUGAGGCUCUAAACAAUCAAAUUAGGGCGCACAUAAAACAUUUCACUAGAACAGGUUGUUUUGAUGCCCAAAUAUUUUUAAAUUGAUCAGCUUGGUAUCAAGAUGCAUGGACAUGAGAAAAAAAUAGAUUUCAAGUUUUGAAAAUAGUGUCUUGUAAUACCUUUUUAAACCAUCAAUUUUCAAGUUUUCAUAAAUCUGCUGGAUCUACACUAUUUUUUAAACUUUAAAUUUUGUAAUUAGAUAUAAAAAUAUAUUUUAAGGCUAUCACAAAUAUAUUUUAAGGCUAUCACAAACAUUCUCGACACUAUUUGAAGGUAGGCUUUAUUUUGAUUGUUUAAAGCCUCGCCUUUAUACAAACCGCACCCUUAUAAAAAAGGGAUAUGUUAGAGUACUCGUAUAGGUGAAUAUUUAAUUAAGGGCCAGAGCAAUUUAUAAUGGGAAAAGUACAGAUAUCCUCAAGUUUGUACUUUCUAGACAACCUUCCCCCAACAAAACUUUUCUUUGCAACUUUUACCCCAAAUCAUACUUUUUUAGCAAAUAAACACCCAAGUCAAAAAAAAAAGUAAAAAAUACCAAAAUGGCCUCUUGUAAGAUAAAGUACCUCUCUCUUUGCCAGUCGUGGUCUCGGUCUGACAAUAGGAUAGCGGUCUGGCACUAGCUGCACGCGGUCCGACAAUUGUUUCUUUGUCUAGGUUGUCGGUUCGGCAAAAGGAAAUGCGGUCCGGCACUAGGUGCCCUCGAUCUGACAAAUUUUUGAUGGGGUCCGGCAGUUGUUCUACACGGUCCGGCACAUGAUGACUUCGGUCUGGCGCGUCUUUACCUCGGUCCCGCACAUCUUUACCUCGGUCCCGCACAUCUUUACAUCGGUUCGACAAUCGUUUACUACGGUCCGAUAGUCAACUCUUGGUUGCGUAUUUUACGAGGAUGUGACGCAAGUUUGUACUAACAAGGGC
rnacentral:lncRNA from 1 species